CCAGUGAACGAAGGCACGCUUGGCGUACAUGAGGUCAAACUUGUGGUCGAUGCGGGAGAACACCUCGACCACGCUGGUGGAGUUGGAGAUCAUGCACACGGCACGCUGCACCUUGGCCAGGUCACCGCCAGGCACCACGCUGGGGGGCUGGUAGUUGAUGCCGCACUUGAACCCAGUGGGGCACCAGUCCACGAACUGGAUGGUGCGCUUGGUCUUGAUGGUGGCAACAGCAGCGUUGACGUCCUUGGGCACCACAUCACCACGGUACAUGAGGCAGCAAGCCAUGUACUUGCCAUGGCGGGGGUCGCACUUGGCCAUCAUGGAGGACGGCUCAAAGGCGCUGUUGGUGAUCUCUGCAACAGACAGCUGCUCAUGGUAGGCCUUCUCGGCAGAGAUGACUGGUGCAUAGGAUGAAAGCAUGAAGUGGAUCCUCGGGUAGGGCACCAAGUUGGUCUGGAACUCGUUCACAUCCACGUUCAGAGCACCAUCGAACCUCAGGGAGGCAAUCAGAGAUGAGAUGACCUGCAUCACAACAAUGAUGACGAACAGAAGGUUAGACAAGCACAGAUUUCAGAACCAUUCACAAUGCAGAGGGACAACACUGAAUGUUGCGACAGUAAACCAAGGCAGUACCUGAGACACGAGCCUGUUGAGGUUGGUGUAGGUGGGGCGCUCAAUGUCAAGGGAGCGGCGGCAGAUGUCAUAGAUGGCCUCAUUGUCAAGCAGAACAGCAACAUCAGUGUGCUCGAGGAGGGAGUGGGUGGACAGGACACUGUUGUAUGGCUCAACCACUGAGGUGGAGACCUGGGGAGAUGGGUACACAGUGAACCCGAGCUUGGACUUCUUGCCAUAGUCAACAGACAGACGCUCAAGGAGGAGAGAACCAAGACCAGAGCCUGUUCCUCCACCAACAGCAUUGAAGACAAGGAAGCCCUGGAGACCAGUGCAGUUGUCGGCAAGCUUCCUGAUGCG
rnacentral:lncRNA from 1 species